AUGUGGGGGCUCAGCGGUAAAGUGCUCGACUAGCACGUGUGAAGCCCUGGGUUGGAUCCUCAGCACCACAUA
rnacentral:tRNA from 1 species